GGGGGUAGCUUGCUACCUGCCGGCGAGUGGCGAACGGGUGAGUAAUACAUCGGAACGUGCCCUGUAGUGGGGGAUAACUAGUCGAAAGACUAGCUAAUACCGCAUACGACCUGAGGGUGAAAGUGGGGGACCGCAAGGCCUCAUGCUAUAGGAGCGGCCGAUGUCUGAUUAGCUAGUUGGUGGGGUAAAGGCCCACCAAGGCGACGAUCAGUAGCUGGUCUGAGAGGACGAUCAGCCACACUGGGACUGAGACACGGCCCAGACUCCUACGGGAGGCAGCAGUGGG
rnacentral:rRNA from 1 species